rnacentral:tRNA from 1 species
GGGGGUGUGUACACAUACCGCUUGGCAGAGCGCUUGAAUGGCAUUCAAGAGGUCAGCGGUUCGAUCCCGCUUAUCUCCACCA